UCCUGGUUCAGGACGAACGCUGGCGGCGUGCCUAAUACAUGCAAGUCGAGCGCGGGAAGCAAGCAGAUCUCCUUCGGGAGUGACGCUUGUGGAACGAGCGGCGGACGGGUGAGUAACACGUGGGCAACCUACCUGUAAGACUGGGAUAACUCCGGGAAACCGGGGCUAAUACCGGAUGAAACAAAGCGUCGCAUGACGCAAUGUUAAAAGGCGGCAUAUGCUGUCACUUACAGAUGGGCCCGCGGCGCAUUAGCUAGUUGGUGAGGUAAAGGCUCACCAAGGCAACGAUGCGUAGCCGACCUGAGAGGGUGAUCGGCCACACUGGGACUGAGACACGGCCCAGACUCCUACGGGAGGCAGCAGUAGGGAAUCUUCCGCAAUGGACGAAAGUCUGACGGAGCAACGCCGCGUGAGUGAUGAAGGUUUUCGGAUCGUAAAACUCUGUUGUUAGGGAAGAACAAGUGCCAUUCGAAUAGGUUGGCACCUUGACGGUACCUAACCAGAAAGCCCCGGCUAACUACGUGCCAGCAGCCGCGGUAAUACGUAGGGGGCAAGCGUUGUCCGGAAUUAUUGGGCGUAAAGCGCGCGCAGGCGGUCCUUUAAGUCUGAUGUGAAAGCCCACGGCUUAACCGUGGAGGGCCAUUGGAAACUGGAGGACUUGAGUACAGAAGAGGAGAGUGGAAUUCCACGUGUAGCGGUGAAAUGCGUAGAGAUGUGGAGGAACACCAGUGGCGAAGGCGACUCUCUGGUCUGUAACUGACGCUGAGGUGCGAAAGCGUGGGUAUCGAACAGGAUUAGAUACCCUGGUAGUCCACGCCGUAAACGAUGAGUGCUAGGUGUUAGGGGGUUUCCGCCCCUUAGUGCUGCAAGUUAACGC
rnacentral:rRNA from 1 species